GGAGGAUUAGCUCAGCUGGGAGAGCAUCUGCCUUACAAGCAGAGGGUCGGCGGUUCGAGCCCGUCAUCCUUCACCA
rnacentral:tRNA from 1 species